rnacentral:rRNA from 1 species
GAUGAACGCUAGCGACAGGCCUAACACAUGCAAGUCGAGGGGUAGCAGGAUGUAGCAAUACAUCGCUGACGACCGGCGCACGGGUGAGUAACGCGUAUGCAACCUACCUUCUACAGGAGGAUAGCCCGGAGAAAUCCGGAUUAAUACCCCAUAAAACAGGGACUCCGCAUGGAGAUAUUUGUUAACGAUUAAUCGGUAGAAGAUGGGCAUGCGUUCCAUUAGCCAGUUGGUGAGGUAACGGCUCACCAAAGCAACGAUGGAUAGGGGAACUGAGAGGUUUAUCCCCCACACUGGAACUGAGACACGGACCAGACUCCUACGGGAGGCAGCAGUGAGGAAUAUUGGUCGAUGGGCGCGAGCCUGAACCAGCCAAGUCGCGUGAAGGAAGACUGCCUUAUGGGUUGUAAACUUCUUUUAUAUGAGAAUAAAAAGAGUUACGUGUAACUUAUUGCAAGUAUCAUAUGAAUAAGCAUCGGCUAACUCCGUGCCAGCCGCCGCAGUAA